rnacentral:rRNA from 1 species
UGCCUUACACAUGCAAGUCGAACGGCAGCGCGGGGCAACCUGGCGGCGAGUGGCGAACGGGUGACUAAUAUAUCGGAACAUACCCUAGAGUGGGGGAUAACGUAGCGAAAGUUACGCUAAUACCGCAUACGAUCUAAGGAUGAAAGCGGGGGAUCGCAAGACCUCGUGCUCAUGGAGUGGCCGAUAUCUGAUUAGCUAGUUGGUAGGGUAAAAGCCUACCAAGGCGACGAUCAGUAGCUGGUUUGAGAGAACGACCAGCCACACUGGAACUGAGACACGGUCCAGACUCCUACGGGAGGCAGCAGUGGGGAAUUUUGGACAAUGGGGGCAACCCUGAUCCAGCAAUGCCGCGUGAGUGAAGAAGGCCCUCGGGUUGUAAAGCUCUUUUGUCAGGGAAGAAACGGUGUUUCCUAAUACGGAAUGCUAAUGACGGUACCUGAAGAAUAAGCACCGGCUAACUACGUGCCAGCAGCCGCGGUAAUACGUAGGGUGCAAGCGUUAAUCGGAAUUACUGGGCGUAAAGCGUGCGCAGGCGGUUUUAUAAGUCUGAUGUGAAAUCCCCGGGCUCAACCUGGGAACUGCAUUGGAGACUGUAAGGCUAGAGUGUGUCAGAGGGGGGUAGAAUUCCACGUGUAGCAGUGAAAUGCGUAGAUAUGUGGAGGAAUACCGAUGGCGAAGGCAGCCCCCUGGGAUAACACUGACGCUCAUGCACGAAAGCGUGGGGAGCAAACAGGAUUAGAUACCCUGGUAGUCCACGCCCUAAACGAUGUCUACUAGUUGUCGGGUCUUAAUUGACUUGGUAACGCAGCUAACGCGUGAAGUAGACCGCCUGGGGAGUACGGUCGCAAGAUUAAAACUCAAAGGAAUUGACGGGGACCCGCACAAGCGGUGGAUGAUGUGGAUUAAUUCGAUGCAACGCGAAAAACCUUACCUACCCUUGACAUGGAAGGAAUCCCGAAGAGAUUUGGGAGUGCUCGAAAGAGAACCUUUACACAGGUGCUGCAUGGCUGUCGUC